GACUCUACCAUCUCUAGCAGCUUGAUUUGAUAGUGUCUUCUUCUCUUCAGGAUAGAUGUAGCAUGACAGGAUGGCCAGAUCGCUCAGAUGGAGACAGGACCUCAAGGCAGGACCAGAUGAGCGUCUUCUCAGGCUGGGCAACUUCUGGAGAACACAAACUUCUGGAGAACAUGGUACCAGAAUGGAAAAGAGAGGUGACUUUCCAAUCCUGUGAAAGAGAUCCAGCAAUCUACAGCAGAGAGAUGUUUCUGUUAAUAGACACCCCACUACAUAUUGUGAAUGGAGAGGUUUGGUCAUAUAUGAAGGUAGACCAAGCAGAUGUGUGCUGCUGUUGAACAUCAAGACCCAGCUGAAGUUUCUGCUACAUUAGAAGUUUGCUGAAAUAUGUUUACAGGAUUGGGGGACAAUUCAACUGGAAAUUGACUAUAUUCUCAGCUAAGAUCUAGAGUUUCCUUGCAAAGGUAGAUGCAAACCAGAAACACCAUCUACCCCAUCUCUCCCCCACCCCCGCAUUGGCAUCACUAGAAAAUCCAGCCCCUAUGCCUGCCGAACAAUGGUGAAAUGGACAGGGAAAGAAAGAGACAUCACAACUUUAUUUCAUUUCCCGGAGUCUCAGAUCAGUACCACCUCUCCACCGCAAAGGGACAUCAUACUGUGUUUGACUAUUAGGUCUUCCGGCGCAUUCACUGAGGUCCCUGCAGCCUCCUCACCCUGCCUCUUUUUGGCAUCCUGUCAGACAAUGAGGCUGUUAGGCUUAACAAGGGGGUCGUAAGCCACUUGAGACUCUGUACUGGGAGCCCUGACAGCACCUGGUCCAGCUCAUCGUAAAAGGGUCUCAAGAGAAGAGGCAGUAGUUCGAUAUGUGGAGCUUCAGAGCUGGUGGGAGAAGUACAGGCCUGAUCAGCUUUCACAAAGUGACCAUCCAGGCCACCGAGGUCCAUAUGCUUCCAGCCCUUAAGCACACAGACGGAAGCAGAUGGCCAGAGAUUGGAGAGAAGAAGGUAAAGGAAACCUUCAAUCCAUCCCCCAACACUAAGAGCUGUGCAGAGAAUUCUGGACAAGUGUGCAGCCUAGCAGAGGACAUGGACAGUGGACUGUCUAAUGGUCAUUAAGAGCUAUAACAGCCUUGAGCAGAAAUUAUGGCAACU